UGAGUAACCUGCCCUUAACUCUGGGAUAAGCCUGGGAAACUGGGUCUAAUACCGGAUAUGACUCCUCAUCGCAUGGUGGGGGGUGGAAAGCUUUUUGUGGUUUUGGAUGGACUCGCGGCCUAUCAGCUUGUUGGUGAGGUAAUGGCUCACCAAGGCGACGACGGGUAGCCGGCCUGAGAGGGCGACCGGCCACACUGGGACUGAGAUACGGCCCAGACUCCUACGGGAGCAG
rnacentral:rRNA from 1 species